rnacentral:rRNA from 1 species
AGCAUAAUAAUUUGCCUUUUAAUUAAUGGCUAGUAUGAAUGGAAGAACAAAAAUUAUACUGUCUCUAAAAAUUUUCUAAAAAUUAGUCUUCAAGUGAAGAAACUUGAAUAAAACUAGAGGACAAGAAGACCCUGUAGAGCCUUAAAUUAAUAGUAUUGCUAAACAAAAUUAACUUAAACCUUACUUAAUAUUAAAAUUUCUAGUUGGGGCAACUAAAAUAUACCAAAAUCUAUUUCCACUAAUAAGGCUAACAAGCCACUUAAAUGACCCUUUUUAAGAUCAUACGAAUAGGCUACCUCAGGGAUAACAGACUAAUUCUUCUUAAAAGCUCUAAUUAACAGAAGAGAUUGGCACCUCGAUGUUGGCUUAGGGUUUCCUAAUGGCGCAGAAGCUAUAAAGGUGGGUUUGUUCAACCCUUAAAA